CCGGGGGCGGAGCGGCCGCUGCCAUGGGCUCAGCCGGGGACCGGCGGGGUGAUGCUGCGGCCGGAGGAGCCCCCGCUGCCGGCGGCUGAGGAGAGCAGAGCGGAGUGCGGCGGCUCGCCCGCUGCCUGACCCCGCCGCCCGGGGAAGAGGUGAAAGCAGGCGAGGCCCCCGCCUGUGCGGUGCCUGCCUCGCCGCCCGCAGGUGACGGAGCGGGAGGUGAGGAUGGCGGAGCCGCUGAGGAGGCCGAGGCAGCGCCGCGGGGCAGCGGCCGCGAUACAUCUGAGACCCUGGGUGAGACCAUUCCACUGAUUCAAGACAAGGUGAUGGAAAUGAACCACCUCUGUGCCAAAGUGCAUAAAGUAGAGGCAUUUGUUAAAAUGGUUGCACACUGU
rnacentral:lncRNA from 1 species